CUUCAAGGGCAAGAGGGGUAUAUACGUAUAUAUCAUCGCACGGUGUGUCCCGGAAGGCUUGAUAUGCUAGUCCCGCGGGACAAGGCGAGCCGAGGAGUUUGUGUGGAAGUUUGCAUCUGAGAGUGCGAGAGCUGGACGGAGUGUUACAGAGCCGCGAUGCCUUCUCGUUUUGUUUUGUUUUGUUUUUGAUACAGUGUCUCGCUCUUCCGCCCAGUCUCGAGUGCAGUGGUGAGAACACGGCUUACUGCAGCCUCAAAAUCCUGGACCCAAAAGAUCCUCCCACCUCAGCCUGCCUCCCAGGUAGCUGGGACUACAGGCGCACAACACCAUCGCUUCUUGGAUUAAAAGAAAAGGAUGAAACGGGCCCCAGAAAGAGGCGGUGACGUCCCAGAACCCAUGGCAGGGGAGUUGGGAAAAUAAAUAUUUGUAUUGUUUUAA
rnacentral:lncRNA from 10 species